GAUUAGUUUCCACGAGCGAAUACGGCCAACGGAGGUCGUAAAAGUUCGAACUCGAUACAUCGUAUAUUUCAUAUUCACGAUCGCGUGUAAUUUACGAUCGCACAAUGGGAUAGUUAAGGAGAAUAAUACUCACCACGACUAGUGCCACGAUGGUACCAAGGGUCGAGCCGGCCAGAACAUCGCUCCAGUGAUGUUUAUAAUCAGAAACUCGUGACAAUGCCGUGAACCAGGCCAUAAGUAUACACAGAAGUUGCAGGAAGUGUUUCAACAGCUUGCUACCCUUCCAUGUCAUCCUUAAUUAGAAAAGCUGGAAAGUGGCAUCGACAGAAAUGUCUCGAAGGAGAUUAUUGGAAAUAUUUCAGGAUAAACAACGUUGUAUGGUUAUUCGCCGCUGCAAAUAAAGAGAGUAAAGAAGAUAGACGAUUGGAUGCUGCAUAAACGACGGACAGGAGUUGAAACGAGUGCUGACAGUAGCGUCAUUAUUCUCAAAAAAGAAACAGAACGAACUGGAAAUAAUUGUCGAUUUUGCGCUUUCCACUUGCCAUUUAUAUUCAUGUAUUCGUAAUUUUUUUCAAACUUUAGUCGAUCUAUUAUCAUAUAAAUUGUUUUCGAGCAAAAAAAUUGUCAGAACGCCGGAAAGAUAAAAAUAUAUGGAAUUCUACUUAAUAAAAAUUACGAUAGCUUCGAAUUAUAUCUUUAAAUUAUGUAAAUUGCAGCUCCUUCGUAAAACAAUUAUCGUUAAUUAAUGGUCGAUACCAAAUGACCAUCGAUAUACAUAAUCAUUUGGUUAAAUUCUCGUAAAAGUAAUUGAAAAAUUAUAGGCACGUUAACAUAAUAAUAAAUGUUCCGUAUGUCAAUGAUGUUGAAAUUAAAAAGGGAAAUAUGCACAAAGACGUCGUAUAAGGUGGAUUUUUUACGCACGUUACGUAAUGCUUGAUAUCAUAAUGAUACACACGUGUAAAGAAAUAACAAAGUACUCAUUUACACACUUAUGUUGUGGUACUCAUUUAUUUCUCUGAGUUGUUCGCUUCGGAUAUAGAGAAUGACAUAAAUAUUAAAUAAGCAUUUCAUAAUUUUGCUCGUGACAAAGUAAAAGAAUCUUAUAUCAUACCUAUAACUUGCAACCAGCUUGAAAAGUAAACGCUGAACGUAAUUAAAAAGAACGUAAAUUUUAUUUGCUUCCUCUGUUUAAAUACUAUUUUUAAUUUCAAUUGAUGUUCAUCAAUUGUCAUGUAUAUUUUGUAUUUAAAGAAAUUUAAAGCAUUUGAUAAGCAUUAAGUCUCAUCCGCUAUCUAUUUAA
rnacentral:misc_RNA from 1 species